GACAGAGGGUGCAAACGUUGUUCGGAAUUACUGGGCGUAAAGAGCGUGUAGGCGGCCAGGUAGGUCUGGUGUGAAAAACUCGAGGCUUAACCUUGAGAUGUCAUCGGAAACCAUUUGGCUAGAGUCCGGAAGAGGAAAGUGGAAUUCCUGGUGUAGCGGUGAAAUGCGCAGAUAUCAGGAAGAACACCAAUGGCGAAAGCAGCUUUCUGGGACGGUACUGACGCUGAGACGCGAAAGCGUGGGGAGCGAACAGG
rnacentral:rRNA from 1 species